ensembl:lncRNA
UAAUGUUCAUGUGAGUGAGUGAAAUUUUUUUCUUUUCUAGACCGUGAAACUCUGAUGAACGUUACUAAGACAGCACAUAUUAAAGCUGGUAAUGCUCUUACACAGCCUAUUAUUUUACAAAUUUAUUCUCAGGAUUUUUUCUUUUCUUUUAAAAACUUUCCAGAUACAGUUUAUUAUAUAUUAUAUUAUCAUAAAAGCAAUAUUAGAAUAUGCUACAUGAUGCACUUUCAGACAGAUUGGCUUUUCUGCUUGUAAUGUAUAAUGUGUAUAUAUGUAUAAUUAAUUUUAUGUCUUACUGAUUUCGUCUUUGUACUUUACCCACUCUGUACUUUACAUAUAUAAAGUACCAAAUUAAUCUAAAUUAUAUCCAGCUCUCAUUGUCCUAUUAUCAUGCAAUUAAAAUUUGCAUUUGUCUUCUCCACAACACAGAACGUGAUGCACUGAAAAACAUCACUAAACCAGCACCUGCAAAGAGAGAUAAAGAGGCUCCAAAAGCUAAGAUCAGACCAGAGCCCAAAAAGAAAGAAAUCACCCGUGAGAAGGUCAAAGAAGAAAAAGAACCUUUAAAGAAAGAACCUGAGCAGGUCAAAGAAAGAGUAGUCAAGCCAACUGAGAAGGUACCUGUUCUGGACAAGGAAGUAAAAAGAGAAGAACCUGAUGUCACUAAAGAUAUUCCAGAGAUAGAGGAGGAGGACGUUCCCUACUUCCAGUGUUUCUUUGUGGAUGAGGAUGAUACUCAGUAUCCGUUCUUCCCCUUUUCACCACCGCUGUGUUCCCAUGACAGGCAAGGAGGAGUGUCAGGGUUUCCCAGAGCCUCUUUGCCUCUUUUCUUUUCAUUGGGGAACAACGGGGAGAGUUUCUUUCAUGACACUUGGCAAGAGCAUAAUCUGGCAGUGAUGUCACUCCUAAACUUAUAGGCUAUUGGCCCAUGGAAGAACGGACUACUCUCGGCCCACAAAGAAGCGAGGCAAAAUCAGCUUAAAGCUGAACUGUGGUUGGCCUAGAGAAGAAAAAAAAGGGAGAAGAUGAAGGCAAGCAUUCAUGCUUCCUGACAAAUGGCCACAGAGACUUGACAUAGACUGAGAGGAUGAAUAGACCCCCCAUAUCCUCUCGCUUUUUUUCUCUUGCUCAGUCACUUUGAAGACAAAAUUAGUCUACACAGUAGUCUUGGCACUUUUGAAAACACCUGUGGUGAUCUAAAAGAAAUAAAAACUUUACUUUACUAUAGGUUUUUGUAUUC